rnacentral:rRNA from 1 species
UACAUGGGGGUGCAAACGUUGCUCGGAAUUAUUGGGCGUAAAGCGCACGUAGGCGGUUCGUUAAGUCGGAUGUGAAAGCCCUCGGCUCAACUGAGGAAGUGCACCCGAAACUGGCGAGCUUGAGUACGAAAAGAGGAUCGCGGAAUUCCCCGGUGUAGAGGUGAAAUUCGUAGAUAUCGGGAGGAACACCGGUGGCGAAGACGGCGAUCUGGGUCGAUACUGACGCUGAGGUGCGAAAGCGUGGGGGAGCAAACAGG